rnacentral:lncRNA from 1 species
GGGGGCUUGCAGGGACCACAAGGAGUCACUGUGGGUGCCCGCCAGGCCAGGGCCAAGCUGCCCCCGACUGUCUUCCUUCUGGCCUCCAGUCAAUGUGUUUGGGCUCCAGCCACCAAUCUGGGGUUUGUUCCGGUGGAAUUUUGUGUGGACCUCAGCAGGGGAACCCCAGGGGCCCCGCAGCCCACUCAUCCCAGAACUGUUUCCAUGCUGCGGGACGGUGCUUCCCAGGCAGAACCAGGUGGUUUCGGGGCCCACCUGGGGCAGCCCCUUCUCCUUGCCUGAGGGCCUGGGGGUCUCCACCAGUGCCAGACAAGGGCUACGGUCUCCAGGGCCAGGUCCUGUCCCCCCUCUCCCCCUGAACAUGCUGGCAGCUCUUGGCUAUGGGCCUUCUUUCAACUCCCUUUGGGGUCUGUGUCUUCCAGGGAUCCACUGCUUGGCUUGUGGAGGUGCUUCCCCGGGGCUGAGCCCACCUCCCCGUCCUGGCCACUCAGUGAGGCAGCCAAGUCUCCCAGACUUGGCUCAGGCAGCUGCUCGUAGGCAUGUGAUGGGGCUGCCUGUGGUGCCCGCUCCCCAAGAGGCUACUGCCCUGGCUCUGGCCGUGUGGGGCUUGGCUACUCCUUGGAGUUGCUGGUUGGCUUCUCUGGGGGUCCUGAACCCCUGAAAAGGCACAGACAAGUGAGCUAAUGAAAAGAAAAACAAUGCGGCCAGGCAGGGUUUAACCUUGUGGACAGCAGAAUCUUCAUCCAGAGUUUACAGUGUGCCUGUGGGAUAGGAGGGGGGAUGUGCUGUCAACUUCUGUUGUCUUGAUGGGCUGAUCUUGGCCCUAGAUAUUCAGAGACAUUCCUGGCUGUACCCAGGUUGGCCUGCAAUGGAGAUUUUGACCAUUGACUCUGAAUCACUUAGUGGCUUCCUUUGCCUCCCUGCAGUCUGGCUUUGUCUACCUAAGGUCCAGACGAGAGUAGUUGAUGUUUCUUGUAGCAGCAAGUUGGAAUCACAUCAUAAGAAUCCCUAAAGAGAGAUCAUGCCCUGUCCUGGACAGGGGGAGGGGACAGGCUCCCCAUGUCCAAGUACGGUUCCCACUUUUAUCCUGGCUGGGAGGUGGUCCUCCAUCUCUGUGCACCCCUGCCAUGCUGUAGACCUAGAGAGAGGAGGGUUUGAGGGUGAGCAUGUGCUGAACAGAAAUUGCAGGUCCUUGGUUUCAUUUACAGACGCUUCUGGAGUUAGUGAAGCUAUACUUCCUUUCGAGGGUUUUUGGAUUUGGAGCAACUGUUCCUUUGGGUCUGGGGGAGCAAUCCUGCUCCCAUCAAGCCAGUCUCUGGGGCUGCUGUGCCCCUUCUCCCCUUCACUUUGGUUAUUGGACAGUAGAUCCUGUGUCCACAUGUGACCGUUUGGCGUCUUUCUGAUUCUCGUUAAUUCGUUUUCCUACUGUGAGCGUGUUGUGUUCUCUCUUCCUCAACUUUUUGACACAGCGAAUUGAGGGCUUUGGCCGAGGCCAAGUCUCCCAAACUUGUCCGCUAAGUAAACCAUAAUGUGCACCUUCCUUCACACCUUGCCCUUGCCCACAUUCUCCCUAUCCCAACAUGGACACUCAGAUUUCAGGAGGAGAACCCUUUGAGAACAGGUCAGCUCCUUCCCAGAGUAUGGCCCCAGGGAGCCUCCCCAUGGCUCUUGGCUGCUGCUCCAGGUGGCACUGCGUUUGCGCAGGUGAGAAGUUGUGGCUGCUUUGUGGUGUGCUGGUUUGUGCCGGGUGCCAGGCCUCCCCUGGAGGCUUUUCUACUCUUGGUCCAGGCUUCAGGUCUGGGCAUAAACCCUGAUUAGCAGCAGCAGCCUUGAUGGUCGGUGGCUGGGCCCACAGCUCUGAUGAGCUGCAGCCUGCUUUGGGAUGGGGUGGUCGAGCCCCAUCUUGUCCCUGUGACUUCCCUCUCUGGGGUGGCCGGUUGGCCAAAGCUUCCGUCCACAGCUGGGAAGCCACAGCCUGCAACACUGUUUCCGCUCUAGGAUCUUUUAAGUUACUUUUUUAGGCUGUGGUUUGGUGAAAGGAACCAACACAUUAACGAUUUUUUUCCCCAGAAGCCACUGAAUAAUUCUUGCUGGCCGGUUUUCGCCUUCCUUUUGGCUGUCUGGUUUUGAAGCAGAUGGGAAGAGGCAGGGGUGUGCCCUCGAGACUGAUGGCUUGUCCUGCUCUGGCCUGUGUGUCCUGAGCAUGUGCUGUACCUGUUGGACCAGUCGCACACAUUUCCACCCCACUCUGCAGCAGCAGCCUUGGUACGUGGGUGUCCCUUCAGUCUGAGCUAGAGUGUAGGAGAGCUUGUCCCCGAUGACCUGUGAAGGGGGACCCCUCUAACAGCCUCAUGUCCCAGCCCCACCCUUCCCCACAUCCCCUCAAUCUGAAGCCUUUAACCAAACGGGAGUGGGUACAGAAAGCCUUCUCCUGGCAUCUUAGGGCAGCAGGACAAGGGCUGUCCAGUGUGUCCAGCUCUGCUGCUCUCCUGGCGCUGAGAGGUGGGCGGAGCAGAGUUGAUCAGACCCUGCCUGCCCUGCCUAGGGCUGAAGACAGGAGGUGGGGUGGGUACGCUGGGAUCUGCCGGGGUGGGCGGGGGUUGUUGAAGAUCCAGGUGGGGAGGGGCCCCACUGGAGCACUCUGGCUGACCUGGGUGGCGUCGGCCUCGCGCCCUCCCUACCCUGUGCAGUAUUUAUUGCUAAAUUAUUGUCCAGGAGGGGCGGCACUGGGCCGGGCCCCGGGUAUUUAUUGCUGUACAUAGUGUAUGUUUGUGAUAUAUAAGGUUUUCUUUAUUUUGUAUAUGAUCAAUAAACACCUUUU